rnacentral:rRNA from 1 species
AGAUGGCGACCGGCGCACGGGUGAGUAACACGUAUCCAACCUGCCGAUAACUCGGGGAUAGCCUUUCGAAAGAAAGAUUAAUACCCGAUAGUAUAAUCAGACCGCAUGGUUUGAUUAUUAAAGAAUUUCGGUUAUCGAUGGGGAUGCGUUCCAUUAGGCAGUUGGUGAGGUAACGGCUCACCAAACCUUCGAUGGAUAGGGGUUCUGAGAGGAAGGUCCCCCACAUUGGAACUGAGACACGGUCCAA